rnacentral:hammerhead_ribozyme from 1 species
AUCCAGCUGACCAGUCCCAAAUAGGACGAAGCGCGUAUCCUGGAU